rnacentral:rRNA from 1 species
UACAGGGGGGGCAAGCGUUGUUCGGAAUUACUGGGCGUAAAGGGCUCGUAGGCGGCCAACUAAGUCACACGUGAAAUCCCCAGGCUUAACCUGGGAACUGCGUGUGAUACUGGAUGGCUUGAAUCCGGGAGAGGGAUGCGGAAUUCCAGGUGUAGCGGUGAAAUGCGUAGAUAUCUGGAGGAACACCGGUGGCGAAGGCGGCAUCCUGGACCAAUUCUGACGCUGAGGAGCGAAAGCCAGGGGAGCAAACGGG